ACAAAGACCAGCAAGUUCGCGAGGACAAGCAAAUCUCAUAAACCGUGGCUCAGUUCANAUCGUAGGCUGCAACUUGCCUACGUGAAGGAGGAAUCGCUAGUAAUCGCAGGUCAGCAUACUGCGGUGAAUACGUUCCCGGGCCUUGUACACACCGCCCGUCACACCAUGGAAGUUGGCCACGCCCGAAGUCGUUACUCCAACCCUUGUGGAGGAGGACGCCGAAGGUGGGGCUGAUGACUGGGGUGAAGUCGUAACAAGGUAGCCGUACCGGAAGGUGCGGCUGGAUCACCUCCUAACAGGGAGAAGCGACUUCAGAUGAUGAUCACUUCUUUUUACGUGAUCCAUUUGACUGUUCAACCCGAUGGUCGAUCGGUACCUCAGUCAUUCGAGCGAGAGUUUGAAUGAAUUCGGUUCUUAAGCUUGUCUAGGUCACCACACCAAAAGCUGAUAGGCUUUUGGGCGAUGGGCCCGAAAGGGUUCCUGGGCCAUUAGCUCAGGUGGUUAGAGCGCACCCCUGAUAAGGGUGAGGUCCCUGGUUCAAGUCCAGGAUGGCCCAUCGGGAUUGGGGGUUUAGCUCAGCUGGUAGAGCGCCUGCUUUGCAAGCAGGAUGUCAGCGGUUCGAGUCCGCUAACCUCCWUCAAUUCUGAUGAGGGAACACGACAGGGCGUUGGUGAUUUUAGACACGAUUGUUGGUGAAUCCAGCCUCGUUUGAUUCUUGAAAAAGUUCAAACGAUGCUGGGCUCAGCAAUGGGUUCAGCGAGAACCUUGACAACUGCAUAGGAAAGUCUGGAAAUUAAGCAUCUCACAGAUGUUAUUCAGAUGAGGAUCAACGGAUGCGUCAGUAUCUGUUGAUGUUUGUUUGAGUGAUUUUAUUCUGUGGAAGCCGAGAUCCAGUCAAUGAAUGAUGGAGUAAUCCAUUGUUGAUUGAGUGGAGAUUAUAUGGUCAAGCUACGAAGGGCUCACGGUGGAUACCUUGGCACACAGAGGCGAUGAAGGACGUGGUUACCUGCGAUAAGUCUCGGGGAGCUGGAAGCACGCUUUGAUCCGGGAAUUUCCGAAUGGGGCAACCCUUAAUACGGCCAGCUGAAUCCAUAGGCUGGCACGAGCCAACCCAGCGAACUGAAACAUCUUA
rnacentral:misc_RNA from 1 species